AAACCGUGGUGUGGUCAACAUCUCAAGGUCCUUAUACCUCUCCCAUGCAUCAUAUACGCUCUCAUCAUCAAACUGCACAAAAGAAGAAAUAUCAUUAUGCAUCU
rnacentral:snoRNA from 1 species